GACUCUAAACAAGUAGGUGGAUUAAACGCUAGUCUCUUUGGAAGAGGCGACACUAUCAAAUUGCGGGAAGAUCCUGUCAGGUCCACAUCACCGCGGCUCACCGAAAGGUGUAGUGCAGCACCAGGCUAACAACCUUGGGUAUGGUAAUAGUAUGUGGAAUAGGGAGAAUCUGCAGCCAAGCCCCUCUCUUGGGGUGCAGUUCACAGGCCAAAUGGUAGUGGGCACUCUGGUGCUUAAGAUAUGGUCGAGUCCCAAUUGAAAAGUUGGGUACAAGUACUCUGAUUGAUUACAUACAGUCUGUGCUGGUUGUAAAUGCAAAUGUUCCGUAGGUGAACCUGC
rnacentral:rRNA from 1 species